rnacentral:lncRNA from 1 species
UAGGAAAGGUAGGAAUGGGGGCUUUGUGGAUGCAUUAACCCAAUGCAUAGGUCCAGACAGGAAGGCCUCCAGCAAAGAAAGCCCCACUUAGACCCCUGCUGGCAUCUCUGUAACUAAAUUAUAAUGAGGGGUACGUGUGUUCUAGGAAAUGAGAAUUUCACUCCAUUCACCAUGACGGAGGUGGAAGAAAAGCUUGAAUUAAACGAGAACUAGCCUCCAGGUCCUUCCCGCUGUGGAAAUCAGACAAACCUGGAUGCCUCCAGACCUCUUUUCUCUGUCAUUAGCGGUUCUGUUUUCCUACCUUUAACAUAGUUCUGAACAUUGGGGACCUUCAUUAGGGAUACUCGAUGUCCCUAAACUAGAACCAUGGGGCCAUCUUCCCAGAGUCAACGCUGACCAUUUGUCUGGUCAGCCUUCACCAGCCUCAGUUUCCCUUCUAUAUAGAAGGGCAUGGUUCUUCUAGUACUGAAAUCAGGUUCCUGCUUUUAGAUUUUUACAGAAAUGC